CCUACGGGGUGCACCAGUGGGGAAUCUUGGACAAUGGGCGAAAGCCUGACGGAGCAACGCCGCGUGAGUGAAGAAGGAUUUCGGUUCGUAAAGCUCUGUUGUUAGGGAAGAAUGAUUGUGUAGUAACUAUACACAGUAGAGACGGAACCUAACCAGAAAGCCACGGCUAACUACGUGCCAGCAGCCGCGGUAAUACGUAGGUGGCAAGCGUUGUCCGGAAUUAUUGGGCGUAAAGCGCGCGCAGGUGGGUGAAUAAGUCUGAUGUGAAAGCCCACGGCUCAACCGUGGGGGGUCAUUGGAAACUGUUAAACUUGAGUGCAGGAGAGAAAAGUGGAAUUCAUAGUGUAGCGGUGAAAUGCGUAGAGAUUAGGAGGAACACCAGUGGCGAAGGCGGCUUCUUGGCCUGUAACUGACACUGAGGCGCGAAAGCGUGGGGAGCAAACAGGAUUAGAUACCCCUGUAGUC
rnacentral:rRNA from 1 species